rnacentral:lncRNA from 1 species
AGAAAACAGACCGUUCCUCUGCAUACACUCCAGGAGAACAGCCCUGUAGUCCUGUAUUAACCAGGGGUCUUCAGCGUGCCUUGAGUGUAGAGGAUGUGGGGCGGCCCAGUGCGGUGCGUCCGGUGGGACACGUGGCUCAGGCCUUCCCUGACGGCACCAUCCUGCUGGAGCUCUCCAGACCCCCCAACGGCCCCUUCGGCUUUCUCAUCUCCCGAGGAAAAGGCAGGCCAGACUCAGGGGUGUACGUUGAAGAAAUGGGUGACAGCAAUAUGGAGAAACUCUACGCGGGGCUGCUCGGGGUCGGGGACGAGAUAUUAGAGGUGAACGGUGAGAAGGUGGCGGGACUCAGUCUGGACCUGGUGACCCGUUUAAUGACUCAAAACAGCACAGCUUCAAUCCGCGUACUACGACAUAGAUGCUUACAGCGCUAACUGAAGUCAAGACUGUACCAGAACCACGUUUUGUUCCAGUCAACAUAAAUGAAAACUGCAAAAAAGCAUCAGAAAUUAAGUCAGGGAUGAGUUCGUGAAAACGGCAGUAUUACGUUUUACUGACCUUUGGAGUUUUAUCACAAUGAUCACACA